rnacentral:precursor_RNA from 14 species
CCCCAGCGCUCCUUAUCGUUUGCUACUUGAAGAGAGGUUAUCCUUUGUGUGUUUGCUUUACGCGAAAUGAAUAUGCAAGGGCAAGCUCUCUUCGAGGAGCAAAUGCUGCCUGGAAGCAAGGCU